UAGGGAAUAUUAGUAAUGGGCGAAAGCCUGAACUAGCAACGCCGCGUGUGCGAAGAAGGCCUUCGGGUUGUAAAGCACUUUUUGAGAGGAUGAGGAAGGACGGUACUCUCAGAAUAAGUCUCGGCUACUACGUGCCAGCAGCCGCGGUAACACGUAGGAGGCAAACGUUAUCCGGAUUUACUGGGCGUAAAGCGCGUGCAGGUGGUUUGGUAAGUAGGGCGUGAAAGCUCCUGGCUCAACUGGGAGAGGACGUUCUAAGCUGCCAAGCUUGAGGAUGGUAGAGGGAGGUGGAAUUCCGGGUGUAGCGGUGGAAUGCGCAGAUAUCCGGAGGAACACCAGUGGCGAAGGCGGCCUCCUGGACCACUCCUGACACUCAGACGCGAAAGCUAGGGUAGCAAACGG
rnacentral:rRNA from 1 species